AGCCUGUGCCUCGCCUCCCCAGCUCCAGCGCGUGAGGGUCAGGCCUGUCGGAGGCGGAGGCGUUCGGAGCCACAAGCAGGACAAGGGCACGAGCCCCGCCGCGCCCGGCCCGAGCAGACCCGGGGCGGCGGGCAUCGGUCACCAAGCAGGGGGCGAGUUAGAGGCGUGGAGCCGGGGAAGGGCGCAUGCAGGUACCCUGACCGAUGCUCCUGCCCAGGUGAAUCUCAGCACUGCCACGGGCAUCCUCGUCUCUGCAACAAUAGACCUGCUGUUGUCUAAGAAAACCAUAUAAGAGUGACAAUUGAGUGAUGAGCCUCCGAGCAGUCGUGCCACUUGCUCACGGACUCACUACUAGUUGAUGGCAGUGUUGGGACUCAAAAAUCAAGAAAGCCCAUUCUCAGGGCUCGAGUCCUCCCAUGCUGCCACAUGCUUUACUCACCUCCAAACAACUGUUGAUUGUCCCAAAAGUUAAAUCCAUCCUUCAAGAAUGCUAUUAGCUUCCAUAGAGAGCAUUACAAAUAAUGUACCACAAUUCUAUAAACAUAAUUGACAAAAAUACUUAGAGCAACAGUAACACCGUGUGAGUGGAAUGCCUUCCAAAGUGACUACUUCGAAAGAGACACAAUUUCUACAUAUAAGUUCUGGUUCUUAAAACUCGUAAAAUAGAUAGCUAGUGGGAAGCAACCGCAUAGCACAGGGAGAUCAGU